rnacentral:rRNA from 1 species
UACGUAGGGUGCGAGCGUUGUCCGGAAUUACUGGGCGUAAAGAGCUCGUAGGUGGUUUGUUGCGUCGUCUGUGAAAUUCCGGGGCUUAACUUCGGGGUGGCAGGCGAUACGGGCAUAACUAGAGUGCUGUAGGGGAGACUGGAAUUCCUGGUGUAGCGGUGGAAUGCGCAGAUAUCAGGAGGAACACCGAUGGAGCGAAGGCAGGUCUCUGGGCAGUAACUGGACGCUAGG